rnacentral:rRNA from 1 species
GAUGAACGCUGGCGGCGUGCCUAAUACAUGCAAGUCGAGCGAAAAGACGAGGAGCUUGCUCCUCUGACGUUAGCGGCGGACGGGUGAGUAACAUGAGGAUAACCUACCUAUAAGACUGGGAUAACUUCGGGAAACCGGAGCUAAUACCGGAUAAUAUAUUGAACCGCAUGGUUCAAUAGUGAAAGACGGUUUUGCUGUCACUUAUAGAUGGAUCCGCGCGGCAUUAGCUGGUUGGUAAGGUAACGGCUUACCAAGGCAACGAUGCGUAGCCGACCUGAGAGGGUGAUCGGCCACACUGGAACUGAGCCACGGUCCAGACUCCUACGGGAGGCAGCAGUAGGGAAUCUUCCGCAAUGGGCGAAAGCCUGACGGAGCAGCGCCGCGUGAGUGAUGAAAGUCUUCGGAUCGUAAGACUCUGUUAUGAGUGAAGAACAAAUGUGUAAGUAACUAUGCACGUCUUGACGGUACCUAAUCAGAAAGCCACGGCUAACUACGUG